rnacentral:lncRNA from 1 species
GGAAAGAUUUGUAAACUACCUUUCAAGCAAACAAAUAAAAUAUCUGAGUAUGCUCUUGAAAAGAUACAUUAUGAUGUUUAGGGACCAGCUUCCUUGGAGUCCAAGCAAUAUUUUUUAUUUUAUGCUAUAUUUGUUGACUAUUCCUCAAGAUACAUGUGGAUUUAUAAUUUGUUGAAAAUCACUUUGAUCGGAAAAUUAAAAUUUUCCAAUGUGAUGGAGGAGGUGAAUUUAGCUCUAAUGAUUUUCUGGAUCAUAUUGCUAACAAUGGAAUUGAGCCACAUGUUUUAUGUCCAGGAACUCGAGGACAAAAUGGAGUCACAGAACGGGAGCAUCACCAUAUCGUCAAAACAGGGAUAACGAUGCUCUUCCAUGCAGGUAUGCCUUUAUUAUAUUAGUUUGAAUCAUUUUUUACUGCUUUCUAUUUAAUCAAUCGUUUGACAUCGUCAGUGUUACAGAAUCAAAGCCCUUAUCUUAGAAUUUACAAGAGUCAUCCUGAUUACAAUAGCUUAACAGCUUGCCAUUAUUUAGAUGUCAAUAUUUUCCAAAUUUCCAAUAUCAAGGUAGUUCAAAGUUCAUAAAGAAAACAUAUCCGUGUGUCUUUCUUGGGUACAGUCCAAUUCAUAAGGGCUAUCGAUGUUUAGAGCCAACAACAAAGCGAGUUUACAUUUCACGACAUGUCUUUUUCAAUGAGGAACAUUUUCCUUUUCAGCAUUCGAUGGUUACUCCUAAUUCUCAUCUUUUGGAAUUGUCAGAAUUCUCAUCCUUAGAUGAGUGGAUUGAAAGAAGACAAGGGCAAAACUGAAGCAAACCAAGGAGGUGACGAUUUAAUCAAUUCCAGUAAGGAAAUGCCAUUAUCUUUUGUAUUUGACACCACUGAUAAUAUAGAUAUAGGUUCAUAACCGGAUCUGCAUAGAGGCAUAUAAGGCUCAUGCCUCAGGCCCACAAAUUAAAGGGGGCCUCAGAAUCUUAAUUUAUUUAAAUAGAAAGACAGAUUUAUGGCCUUGGAUUUGGUAUCGUCUCACUCCAACAAAUCAAAAUCAAAAUUAUUGAAAAACCCAAACGAAGUUACAAAACGUGAUCUUCUCACUUCUCUUAUCUCCAAGAGCUGUCUAUUGAUUGCCCACGCAGCUGCUGCAUUAUGUAAUCUGAUUUGUGUCGCCCUUGCUCGGUGCUAUGGUUUCUAAUUUUCUGUGAAAAGGAUUUAUGGGGUUCUAUUUUGGGUGUAUGGUUGUUUGUUUAUGAAUUGGGUGUGUCAUGUAUGCUUGUUAAUGAUCUGGUGAUAAAAACAUUAUCAUGUAUGGAUCUAAUGUCUGGUGAAAUGGGUCAAGAUUGGGUGGGUUCAAGCUCUGUGUAUGUCAUGUAUGCUUGUUUUGGCACUUUUUAUUUAUUCUCAUAUUUUAUUAUGUAAAGCAAGCAAAUUUUCCCAAGCCACGUUUUGAUGUCAAUGUUGUGUUUAUGUGCUAAUAACUUUUUGUUGCAUUUAAGAUGGGCAGAUCUUAUCUAUGGUUUGGUUUCUUUUUGAGAAAUAGUUAACUAGAAUUUUUGAUUUCGUAUGAUUUCUAAAGAAAAUGCAAUUUGCAAUAGGAUUAUGAAUUAUGAUGAAUAGAUUAAUGCAACAAAAUUGGUAUUUGAUCUUAAAUUUUUAUUUCAAGCUCACAAGUUAUGACGACGGAACGGAAUUCUCAAGGGUGCGAUUUCAUAAUUUUCGUAGAAAUUCUACUUCUUAGGGAAGCAAUGACUAGACCUAACUUGUUAUUGAAUAUAUUGGAAAUGUUUUGAAGCCUUGUCAGCUUAUAUAAUUGUGGCCUGAUCAGCUUAUGCGAUUGCUUAUUGUAGUAUCAAUUACACAAACGCACAUAGUACCUAUAUUAAAAACUUUAAUUGUAUGAUCGAGAUAUUUUGUAAUUGUUUUUUAGGUUAAAGAUUAGGCAUUAGAUAUAGACUUAUACAUCGUGCCUCCUAAAUAUGAGUUUGGAGUUCUCGAUUAGCAAUAUGUUGCAUAAUACACAACUAAAUUUUACAUUUAUGUUGAUUCUGGGGGCCUAAUUUUUUAAGUUCGCCUCAGGCCCCGAAAAUCACAGGACCGGCCUUGUAUAGGUUCUUCCCCUAAUUUUAGCAGGCACGUAGAAAUAAUGACGAGCAAAUCAAUGAGAAUGUUGGCCACUGCAUUACUUUGGAUGAGAUUCACGAGACAUCUAGUUCAACAGAUGAAAGCAUAACGGAUGCAAGACCAAAUCAUGCAAACACAAAUCGUGAUGAAGUUCUCUCAUCAAUACAAGAUGUUCAAGAAAUCUCUUCGCUAAACAAUUCAGAUUUGAGGUCUUCUCAUCCUACAGAGAUUGACAUCCACCAACCUACCUUAAUGACUAUGUUGCACUUGCCUCUAUCUUAAUUGAGCCAAAAAUGUUGAAGUCAGCCAUCAAAAUUCUAGUUGGACUGAAGCGACUCAAGAGGAGAUUAAAGCCCUUCAUGACAAUCAUGCCUGAGUUUUGGUCCCAAGACCAUCUGAUAUUCAUGUUGUGGGCACAAAAUGGGUUUUUUGAAUCAAGUACAAAGAGAAUAGAUCAGUUGAUUGCUUUAAAGCUCAAUCAGUGGCCAAGGACUUUACUCAAGACUCGAGGAUUGAUUAUGAUAAAACAUUUAGCCUGGUAGUUAAACCAACUACUAUUCAGCUUGUCAUCGCCCUAUCUAUUUCUUAUAAUUGGAGUAUGAGCUAGAUUGAUGUCAAGAAUGCAUUCUUGCAAGAUCUUCCUAAAGAAACCAUCUGUAUGGAGCAACCACUGAGAUUCAUUGACAAUUUACAACAUAAUCAUGUUUGUUUGCUCUAUAAAAAAAAAAAAAAAAAACUUUAUAUGGAUUAAAACAAGCUCCACGAGCUUGGUUCGAUUGCUUGUCAUAGUUUUUUCUUCAUUUUUGAUUUUCAUGUAGUAAGCCAG